CCUCUCUGAACCCUUCCCUGUCUCCAUUUUGCUGAAGAGAAAAUGGCGGCUCAGGGCGUGGCGGGCUCCUCGGCGCCACAGGUGGCUCUCUGAAGCAAGAUGCAUAAACAGUAGCACAAGUUGCCUUGUGUGCAGGUCACAAGCAGGGAGCUGGAUAGGAAGUGGAGCAGCCAGGAUAUGAACCAGCACCCAUUUGGGAUCCCAGCAUGUGCAAGG